rnacentral:lncRNA from 1 species
UGAAAAUCAUGCCCUAAGGUUUUUAUCUCGUGCUGAACCAAGCAAGUGCCCUGAAACCAUCGGAGCAGCUGCAGGGGCUGAAGGGAACAGGAAGGGCUCUCCGGCACCUUUUGCCUCCGUUCUCUGCCAUUCUCCGUCGCAGUCCCGGAAGAGGCGUCUGUCAUGCAGCCUGCCAAAAUGAAGACCUGUAAAAUCCGAGCUCUGCCUUUUGUUCAAGGUGUUUUUACUUCAUAUUUAUGUCAUCACAGAAAGCAAGGAAAGAAGAAAUGUGACUGGUAACCACUAUUGCUCUGUACAGGCACUUUUAAAGGCUGCUGUACUUAUGUUCUCCUUUUCCACUCCAAGCUUGACUUUCCCUCUCAUAUUUCGAGGUCUGCCGCUUUGGGUGUCCCAAGGAGGGCAGGGUUCCUCAGCAGGGGUCUUAGGAGUUGGUUCUGCUUUUUCCGAAGGUGUAUCGAAGUGUGCUACCAAAAUGACUAUUUUCUCCACGGGAAAGCUUUCUCUCAAUGACAAUCAAUGCAUGUAUGUGUUUUAACCGUGUAACCAGAUGGAUUAAGAAAAACCAACACCCGUGGUAGAUUUCUGCUUGAUCUGUGUCUGUAAGAAGUGGGCUGUGUGCUGGAGAGUGAGAGAUGCUGUUGGAGAGUGGCAACAGCCCCAGGUGUGAGCUGUGAGGAUGGGGAGGGCUCAGAGCAGCCCCAGGUGUGAGCUGUGAGGAUGGGGAGGGCUCAGAGCAGCCCCAGGUGUGAGCUGUGAGGAUGAGGAGGGCUCAGAGCAGCCCCAGGUGUGAGCUGUGAGGAUGGGGAGGGCUCAGAGCAGCCCCAGGUGUGAGCUGUGAGGAUGAGGAGGAGGAGGCGGCUCCUGCCGGGAGGAGGUUGUUUUAGGGAGAGGGUUUGCUUCAGCUGGCUUUUGUAUGGUGCUGCUGCUGGAGAAGGGGAGUUUAUGGGGAGCUCCCGGGCCUGUCUCAUGGAAGGACGAUGGGUGCUUGGGACAGGGUCCGGGGGAUCACCUGGAUAUGCACUUGUGUACGUGGAGCCUUGCUCAAAGGAGGUGCCGAGGGACAAACUUUUGUGCCGAGAAACAGCAGCCAAACAGGGGAUGAAAUUGAAGGGAAGCCCACAUUUCUUUGCCCUGGUUGAAGUGAGGUGA